AAAAAUUUUGAGGAUUUAAGCCAAGAUACUUAUUCCAUCUUAAUAAUGUUGUGACUUGAUGUUUAUUUUACCUCUAAAUAUUCCCAUAAGUAUCAGGUAAUUGGGCUUUAUUCUAUGGCCUGAAGGCCAGUAUUCCUGAACUUGGUAAAACCAACUGAAAAAAUGAAUUCCAAAGAUGUAAUCUCUCCAUGGAAAAUGUGUUGCUUCCAGUCUUUGGUAUUCACACCUAAGGCCUGUUGGCAGCUGUCCUUUGGCCAGCUGAAGCAGGCAUGCUGCUACAUAAAGGCAGUUUCUAUGGAAACUUGAACCCAAAUGAUAUUGGGACUUUGAAGAUCAAAGGCAACACCCUGAAUUGUUUGGAGAGCCCAGGGAUGGUUUCAGAACUUUAUUGUUCUCCACAGAAAACAUGACAGCCAAGACUUUCAAAUGUUUUCUACUCCAGGUGCAUUAGAACUAUGUGCACAAGAUAUAAGUUUGCAGUUUGUUUGUGAAAUUAUCUGUUCUAAUUAUUUUAUCAGCUAUUUUAUAAUAUCUAUCUCUGCCAUAAAGAAAAUUAUCAUCUUCCAUUUUUUUUUCUCCUCUUUAAUAAAGCAAGAGACCUAGAGAUAUACUAAGCUUGUAAAUUGGUGGCAGAUAAUGAUUCAUCCUUUUCAUAAAUCAUGGAUAAUCUCUUCAGUAUAUCAUUUUUUUACACAAUUCUAUUAAUAUGUACAAAUGGCCCCAUUACCAGAUGUCCACACAGCUGAAUUGUAGCUGUGCCUGUAAAGAUUUGACCUAUAGUAAUGUUCUCUUACUUAAACAUAGUCUUUAAACUGAUUUCCUUGUUUAGUAUUUAUGACAUAAACCCUGUUGUCGCAAACUUAGCAGAAAUUUAAGUACAAGAAAAUAUUUUUCCAUGAAUGUGUUUCCCGAGUACAUUUUGUAUAUAUUUUGUGGAUCUUUUUUGUCUUUUCUAGGGCUGCACCUGAGGCACAUGGAGGUUCCCAGGCUAGGAUCUAAUCGGAGCUGUAGCCUCUGGCCUACACCACAGCCACAGCAACACGGGAUCUGAGCCCUGUCUGCAACCUACACCACAGCUCACAGCAAUGCCGGAUCCUUAACCCACUGAGCAAGGCUAGGGAUCGAACCUGUAACCUCAUGGUUCCUAGUCUGAUUCCUUAACCACUGAGCCACAACGGGAACUCUAAUUUUGUGGAUCUUGAUUUAGAUAUAUUUCUUCUGACAAGUUCCUAUUCUAUAAAAGUUUUGAUGAAUGACAAGGGGGUGUAUUCUUCCUGGCUGAUGGAUAUUGUUAAGAUAAAUUAUCUAAAUUUACCGCAUUUAUCUGUGGGCAUUUGUAUUCUUGGUUUCAAGGGCCAUUGUAGAGUUGGCUGGCUAUAUUAUGCUUAGUUACAGUAUUCAAAAGCAUUAUACUCAAUAUGAAAUAAUGAAAUGAAGACUAGAUAUUACAACUGAUCUGUGCAUAUGAUACAUGGAGAAAGGAGUGGUACAAUUGAAUCUUUCAUGACCUUUUCUUCUCCAAGAAGAACCAAAGUAGUAAAGCCACCUAGACUGUAUUUACUAGAGUCUAAUUCUUCCAACAUUCCUGUAGGGUGAAGGUGCUUUUUUCUACCUCGUAGAAGCACACCUCUGCUCCUUCUCUCUGGAACAGUUCCACAUUGUCUCAGCACCAUUUCCAAGCAGAAAAUGGGAAAGGCAUUAUGGAAGGAGGCAAGCAAAGGCAAGGCAGUGGAUGGACGUGGGAAACUGCCACACACCAUCUCUUGAGGAUACGAAAGGAGACAAGAUUUUAAAAAAAUGUUGCUAAAAAUACGUGCAGGUUUUUAAAAAAGCUGAUUUCAUCUCUGAUUAGUGGCCAAGGCAACAGUCAGUACAGAUUAAAAAGAAGUUGCAUGCAAUGAGAAGGAGAGGGCUGCCAUGUGGCAAGAAACCAAGGCCUCCUGCAAACAGGCAUGUGUAUGAGCCAUCCAAUGGUGGCUCCUUCAGCCCCAGUCAGACCUUCAGGUGAGACAACAGCAUCUGCCAGCAUCAUAACCUCCACCUUAUGAGAGACUCUGAGCCAGAGCUACCCAGGUAAGGCGCCAACUAGCCUUAAGUAGGCACGGUUUUCCAAGUCCUGGCCACUGGUGUCCCUAAGAGAUUUCAGGGAGAAGCAGUUUUGGCAGAGCUUAGAGCCAGAGGCCGGCCAGUGAAGGGAACAAUGUCUGGGUUUUGAGAACAGCUGGAGCUUUGGAGGGAGAAAAGCAGCUUGGCGAAUGAGGAAAGAAUGUGCUUGUCACUUCAAGAGGCGAGAAACUUCGAUUUCCCUCCUGACACUGCCAACAAGUUUCAUUGGAAAGGACAGAGUGGUGGUGAUGGCAGAAAGUGUCUCUUAGGGCUGUUGUUCUUAGAAGAGUGUGAGCGAAGCAGGAACUUGGAAUUUCAUACUCUUUUUCCAGCACAAGUAUGAAGAAAUGAACUAGACGUGAAGAAGUCUGUGAAAAGAAGUCAGUGAACUUCAGGGAAUAUCCUGUGAGCAUCAUCUUCUUUAUUCAGCAACAUUAAGAGCAUCUCCAGUGGGUUCACAUAUAUUUUUUUGAGUGUCUGUUUUCUGUUAAUCAUGGUGAGAACAUUAAGAAUAAUUUUAGAAAUUGGAAACAUUCUUAACUCUGAGAGAUCAUUACUUUGCUCUGCUGUGGUUACAAAUACAGUAAGUUCAACAUAAACACAGCUUAAGAAGUGUCUCAACCACUUCAGAAAUGUAGAAGUAUUUUUUAUAAUCUAGAGUAUUUAAUUAAUCAAAACUUCUAUUCCCCUAGUAUUCUGAGUAAUCAAUAUUUUCAUUUGUGAGUUUCAGAUGAAGAAUUAUUUGCACAAUGACAUAUCUGGGUUUUUUAAUACACUUUCUUCUGAAUCUUUCUUUAGUGUGAUGUGAGGUAUACAUGAGAAGUGUGCAUUUAAAUAGUCACAGUAAUGAUUGUAAUGAAUUCCAAGUGAGGACCGCAUGCUCUAAUUCCCAUGAAUUGAGGGGUAAUAUUUUUAUGUUAUCGUUUUCUAUAAUAAAACCUAAAAGCAGGUGCACAUGUCUGGCAAUUUAAAAGUUUCAAUAAAUUAAUAUUUG
rnacentral:lncRNA from 1 species